CGACUCUCGACAACGGAUAUCUCGGCUCUCGCAUCGAUGAAGAACGUAGCGAAAUGCGAUACUUGGUGUGAAUUGCAGAAUCCCGUGAACCAUCGAGUCUUUGAACGCAAGUUGCGCCCGAAGCCAACAGGCCGAGGGCACGUCUGCCUGGGUGUCACACAAUCGCUUGCCC
rnacentral:rRNA from 1 species